rnacentral:rRNA from 1 species
GAUGAACGCUGGCGGCGUGCCUAAUACAUGCAAGUAGAACGCUGAAGGAGGAGCUUGCUCUUCUGGAUGAUUUGCGCACGGGUGAGUAACGCGUAGGUAACCUGCCCGGUAGCGGGGGAUAACUAUUGGAAACGAUAGCUAAUACCGCAUGACAUCAGUUAUUGCAUGAUAACUGUUUAAAAGUGGCACCUGCUCCACUACCAGAUGGACCUGCGUUGUAUUAGCUAGUUGGUGAGGUAACGGCUCACCAACGCGGCGAUACAUAGCCGGGCCGGGAAGGUGGACGGGCCCACUGGGACUGGGGCCAGGCCCAGGCUCCUAAGGGGGGGAACCGUAGGGAAACUUCGGCAAAUGAGGGAAAGCUGACCGAAGAACGCCGGGGGAGGGGAGGAGGUUUUCGGGUUGGAAAGCUCUGUUGUAAGGGAAGAAAGAGUGUGAGAGUGGAAAGUUCACGCUGUGACGGUAUCUUACCAGAAAGGGACGGCUAACUACGUG